AUGGCACCAUCACCAGUACCAGCACCAGUGGCACCAUCACCAGUACCAGUACCAGUGGCACCAUCACCAGUUGCACCAUCACCAGUACCAGCACCAGUGGCACCAACACCAGCACCAGUGGCACCAUCACCAGUACCAGCACCAGUGGCACCAACACCAGCACCAGUACCAGCACCAGUGGCACCAGCACCAGUGGUACCAUCACCAGUGGCACCAGCACCAGCACCAGUGGCACCAUCACCAUCACCAGUACCAGUACCAUCACCAACACCAACACCAUCACCAGUGGCAACAUCACCAGCACCAGCACCAGCACCAGUGGCACCAGCACCAGUGGCACCAACACCAGCACCAGUGGCACCGACACCAGCACCAGUACCAGCACCAGUGGCACCAACACCAGAACCAGUACCAGCACCAGUGGCACCAUCACCAGUACCAGUGGCACCAGCACCAGUGGCACCAACACCAGCACCAGUGGCACCAACACCAGCACCAGUACCAGUGGCACCAGCACCAGUGGCACCAUCACCAGCACCAGUGGCACCAGCACCAGUGGCACCAACACCAGCACCAGUGGCACCAACACCAGCACCAGUGGCACCAUCACCAGCACCAGUACCAGCACCAGUGGCACCAACACCAGAACCAGUACCAGCACCAGUGGAACCAUCACCAGUACCAGCACCAGUGGCACCAACACCAGUGGCACCAACACCAGCACCAGUGGCACCAUCACCAGUACCAGUGGCACCAGCACCAGUGGCACCAACACCAGCACCAGUACCAGCACCAGUGGCACCAUCACCAGUACCAGCACCAGUGGCACCAACACCAGUGGCACCAUCACCAGUACCAGCACCAGUGGCACCAUCACCAGUACCAGCACCAGUGGCACCAACAGCAGCACCAGUACCAGCACCAGUGGCACCAAGACCAGUGGCACCAUCACCAGUACCAGCACCAGUGGCACCAUCACCAGCACCAGUACCAGCACCAGUGGCACCAACACCAGAACCAGUACCAGCACCAGUGGAACCAUCACCAUUACCAGCACCAGUGGCACCAACACCAGUGGCACCAUCACCAGUACCAGCACCAGUGGUACCAUCACCAGUGGCACCAGUACCAGCACCAGUGGCACCAACAGCAGCACCAGUACCAGCACCAGUGGUACCAUCACCAGUGGCACCAACACCAGCACCAGUGGCACCAUCACCAGCACCAGUACCAGCACCAGUGGCACCAACACCAGAACCAGUACCAGUACCAGCACCAGUGGCACCAGCACCAGUGGCACCAACACCAGCACCAGUGGCACCAGCACCAGUGGCACCAUCACCAGAACCAGUACCAGUACCAGCACCAGUGGCACCAACACCAGUGGCACCAACACCAGCACCAGUGGCACCAUCACCAGUACCAGCACCAGUGGCACCAACAGCAGCACCAGUACCAGCACCAGUGGCACCAACACCAGUGGAACCAUCACCAUUACCAGCACCAGUGGCACCAACACCAGUGGCACCAUCACCAGUACCAGCACCAGUGGUACCAUCACCAGUGGAACCAGCACCAGUACCAGUGGCACCAUCACCAUCACCAGUACCAGUACCAUCACCAACACCAACACCAUCACCAGUGGCAACAUCACCAGCACCAACACCAGCACCAGUGGCACCAGCACCAGUGGCACCAACACCAGCACCAGUGGCACCAGCACCAGUGGCACCAGCACCAGUACCAGCACCAGUGGCACCAACACCAGAACCAGUACCAGUACCAGCACCAGUGGCACCAACACCAGUGGCACCAACACCAGCACCAGUGGCACCAUCACCAGUACCAGCACCAGUGGCACCAACACCAGUGGCACCAUCACCAGUACCAGCACCAGUGGCACCAUCACCAUCACCAGCACCAGUACCAGCACCAGUGGCACCAUCACCAGCACCAGUGGCACCAUCACCAGUACCAGCACCAGUGGCACCAACACCAGUUGCACCAUCACCAGCACCAGUACCAGCACCAGUGGUACCAUCACCAGUGGCACCAGUACCAGUGGCACCAUCACCAGUACCAGUACCAGUGGCACCAUCACCAGUACCAGCACCAGUGGCACCAACACCAGCACCAGUACCAGCACCAAUGGCACCAUCACCAGUACCAGCACCAGUGGCACCAUCACCAGUACCAGUACCAGUGGCACCAUCACCAGUACCAGCACCAGUUGCACCAUCACCAGUACCAGCACCAGUGGCACCAACACCAGCACCAGUGGCACCAUCACCAGUACCAGCACCAGUGGCACCAACACCAGCACCAGUACCAGCACCAGUGGCACCAGCACCAGUGGUACCAUCACCAGUGGCACCAGCACCAGCACCAGUGGCACCAUCACCAUCACCAGUACCAGUACCAUCACCAACACCAACACCAUCACCAGUGGCAACAUCACCAGCACCAGCACCAGCACCAGUGGCACCAGCACCAGUGGCACCAACACCAGCACCAGUGGCACCGACACCAGCACCAGUACCAGCACCAGUGGCACCAACACCAGAACCAGUACCAGCACCAGUGGCACCAUCACCAGUACCAGUACCGGCACCAGUGGCACCAACACCAGAACCAGUACCAGCACCAGUGGCACCAUCACCAGUACCAGCACCAGUGGCACCAGCACCAGUGGCACCAUCACCAGCACCAGUGGCACCAGCACCAGUGGCACCAACACCAGCACCAGUGGCACCAACACCAGAACCAGUACCAGCACCAGUGGAACCAUCACCAGUACCAGCACCAGUGGCACCAACACCAGUGGCACCAACACCAGCACCAGUGGCACCAUCACCAGUGGCACCAUCACCAGUACCAGCAGUGGCACCAUCACCAGUACCAGCACCAGUGGCACCAACACCAGUGGCACCAUCACCAGUACCAGCACCAGUGGCACCAUCACCAGUACCAGCACCAGUGGCACCAACAGCAGCACCAGUACCAGCACCAGUGGCACCAAGACCAGUGGCACCAUCACCAGUACCAGCACCAGUGGCACCAUCACCAGCACCAGUACCAGCACCAGUGGCACCAACACCAGAACCAGUACCAGCACCAGUGGAACCAUCACCAUUACCAGCACCAGUGGCACCAACACCAGUGGCACCAUCACCAGUACCAGCACCAGUGGUACCAUCACCAGUGGCACCAGUACCAGCACCAGUGGCACCAACAGCAGCACCAGUACCAGCACCAGUGGUACCAUCACCAGUGGCACCAACACCAGCACCAGUGGCACCAGCACCAGUGGCACCAUCACCAGCACCAGUACCAGCACCAGUGGCACCAACACCAGAACCAGUACCAGUACCAGCACCAGUGGCACCAGCACCAGUGGCACCAACACCAGCACCAGUGGCACCAGCACCAGUGGCACCAUCACCAGAACCAGUACCAGUACCAGCACCAGUGGCACCAACACCAGUGGCACCAACACCAGCACCAGUGGCACCAUCACCAGUACCAGCACCAGUGGCACCAACAGCAGCACCAGUACCAGCACCAGUGGCACCAACACCAGUGGAACCAUCACCAUUACCAGCACCAGUGGCACCAACACCAGUGGCACCAUCACCAGUACCAGCACCAGUGGUACCAUCACCAGUGGCACCAGUACCAGCACCAGUGGCACCAACAGCAGCACCAGUACCAGCACCAGUGGUACCAUCACCAGUGGCACCAACACCAGCACCAGUGGCACCAGCACCAGUGGCACCAUCACCAGCACCAGUACCAGCACCAGUGGCACCAACACCAGAACCAGUACCAGUACCAGCACCAGUGGCACCAGCACCAGUGGCACCAACACCAGCACCAGUGGCACCAGCACCAGUGGCACCAUCACCAGAACCAGUACCAGUACCAGCACCAGUACCAGCACCAGUGGCACCAACAGCAGCACCAGUACCAGCACCAGUGGCACCAACACCAGUGGAACCAUCACCAUUACCAGCACCAGUGGCACCAACACCAGUGGCACCAUCACCAGUACCAGCACCAGUGGUACCAUCACCAGUGGAACCAGCACCAGUACCAGUGGCACCAUCACCAUCACCAGUACCAGUACCAUCACCAACACCAACACCAUCACCAGUGGCAACAUCACCAGCACCAACACCAGCACCAGUGGCACCAGCACCAGUGGCACCAACACCAGCACCAGUGGCACCAGCACCAGUGGCACCAGCACCAGUACCAGCACCAGUGGCACCAACACCAGAACCAGUACCAGUACCAGCACCAGUGGCACCAACACCAGUGGCACCAACACCAGCACCAGUGGCACCAUCACCAGUACCAGCACCAGUGGCACCAACACCAGUGGCACCAUCACCAGUACCAGCACCAGUGGCACCAUCACCAGCACCAGUACCAGCACCAGUGGCACCAUCACCAGCACCAGUGGCACCAACACCAGCACCAGUACCAGCACCAGUGGCACCAUCACCAGUACCAGCACCAGUGGCACCAACACCAGUUGCACCAUCACCAGCACCAGUACCAGCACCAGUGGUACCAUCACCAGUGGCACCAGUACCAGUGGCACCAUCACCAGUACCAGCACCAGUGGCACCAUCACCAGUACCAGCACCAACACCAACACCAGCACCAGUGGCACCAUCACCAGUACCAGCACCAGCACCAACACCAGCACCAGUGGCACCAUCACAAGUACCAACACCAGCACCAACACCAACACCAGUACCAGCACCAACACCAACACCAGCACCAGCACCAACACCAGUGGCACCAUCACCAGUACCAGCACCAGUGGCACCAUCACCAGCACCAGUACCAGCACCAGUGGCACCAACACCAGUACCAGCACCAGUGGCACCAUCACCAGUAACAGCACCAGUGGCGCCAACACCAGUUGCACCAUCACCAGCACCAGUACCAGCACCAGUGGUACCAUCACCAGUGGCACCAGCACCAGUACCAGUGGCACCAUCACCAUCACUAGUACCAGUACCAUCACCAACACCAACACCAUCACCAGUGGCAAAAUCACCAGUACCAACACCAGCACCAACACCAACACCAGUACCAGCACCAACACCAGCACCAACACCAUCACCAACACCAACACCAGCACCAGUGGCACCAUCACCAGUACCAACACCAGCACCAACACCAACACCAGUACCAGCACCAACACCAGCACCAACACCAACACCAACACCAACACCAGUACCAGCACCAACACCAACACCAGCACCAACACCAACACCAGUACCAGCACCAACACCAUCACCAACACCAACACCAGCACCAGUGGCACCAUCACCAGUACCAACACCAGCACCAACACCAACACCAGUACCAGCACCAACACCAGCACCAACACCAACACCAACACCAACACCAACACCAACACCAGUACCAGCACCAACACCAACACCAACACCAGCACCAGCACCAGCACCAACACCAGUACCAGCACCAGCACCAACUCCAGCACCAGUGGCACCAUCACCAGUACCAGCACCAACACCAACACCAGCACCAGUGGCACCAUCACAAGUACCAGCACCAACACCAACACCAGCACCAGUGGCACCAGCACCAACACCAGUACCAGCACCAACACCAGUGGCACCAUCACCAGUGGCAACAUUACAAGUACCAACACCAGCACCAACACCAGGACCAGCACCAACAGCAGCUCAGCUGAUGUAG
rnacentral:lncRNA from 1 species